rnacentral:rRNA from 1 species
CCCUUAGAUGUUCUGGGCUGCACGCGUGCUACACUGAUAUUGCCAAUAUGUCAUUCUUAUCCGAAAUGGAUUGGGUAAUCAAGUAAUGAAAUUUCAUGCUUGGAAUCGGUAAUUGCAAUUUUAUCGUGAACGAGGAAUUCCUAGUAAGCACUAGUCAUCAGCUAAUGUUGGUUAUGUCCCUGCCCUUUGUACACACCGCCCGUCGCUACUACUGAUUGGGUGUUCAAGUGAGAUGCUUAGACCCUUGUUGCAUGGUUCAUUAUUGUGCUCCGAAAGGAAAAAGUUUCAAGCUUGAGUGUCUAGAGGAAGUAAAAGUCGUAACA